AUUGAACGCUGGCGGCAUGCCUUACACAUGCAAGUCGAACGGUAACAGGUCUUCGGAUGCUGACGAGUGGCGAACGGGUGAGUAAUACAUCGGAACGUGCCUAGUAGUGGGGGAUAACUACUCGAAAGAGUGGCUAAUACCGCAUGAGAUCUACGGAUGAAAGCAGGGGAUCGCAAGACCUUGUGCUACUAGAGCGGCCGAUGGCAGAUUAGGUAGUUGGUGGGAUAAAAGCUUACCAAGCCGACGAUCUGUAGCUGGUCUGAGAGGCCGAUCAGCCACACUGGGACUGAGAAACGGCCCAGACUCCUACGGGAGGCAGCAGUGGGGAAUUUUGGCCAAUGGCGCAAGCCUGAUCCAGCAAUGCCGCGUGCAGGAUGAAGGCCUUCGGGUUGUAAACUGCUUUUGUACGGAACGAAAAGCCCCGGGUUAAUACCCUGGGGUCAUGACGGUACCGUAAGAAUAAGCACCGGCUAACUACGUGCCAGCCGCCGCUGUAA
rnacentral:rRNA from 1 species